UAUGUGUGUAUUUUUAUCUUACGAUUUAAAUAAAAAUGAAUAAUUAAAAUUGAAAUGGCGAUAAAUUUGACAUGUUUCUUAACGUUUAAAUAUUGGAAAAUAUUCUUUUUUAAUAUUUUAAGAGAUUCUUUACAAAUAGUAUAAAUUUUUACAAAUAUUAUAGAAGAAACAGAAAUCAAGGUGAAUAAUAAGGAAAGUAAUCACACUCAUGCGCAACGAUAUACAUGGUUGUGCGCGUUAGCGCGGAAAUUGAAUUACCUUUGUGCGACUGCAACGAUGAAAGCGAGGCCGGAUUGUACCAUCUUGCAAACGGUCUUCCAAUUAAACGUAGCUACCAAGUGCAAUUUACACGUCGAGGGAUCUUGAUGCUGUUUCUCGAAGAAUACAAGCCGCAAACAAGGGAAUGAAAGGAUUAGGAGAAGAAAAGGACUCUUCGAAAACAAGAUUAAAGACAAGCAUGGUAAAGAAAAAGGCGAGUAGAGAAAUGAAAUGAAAUAAGAAACGUAAAAAAAAAAAAGAAAAGAGAUAAAAAAUAAGUGGAAAAAAUGAAAAAGAAUAAGAAAGGGUUUGUUCAUAUUUGAGGACGAGCCUUAGUGAAAAUGCAAUUUCGGUUCUUGUCUGAAGACGACGCUACCAUAGCUCAUCUUCCCGGUGUUCGUAUCCCCCUUUAACAAUGUUGAAGACAUAGGCUCUCGUGCACACAGAAGUUCUUCUCUCCGGCAUGUUCCAGGAGAUGAAAGGCUCCCGUACCUAUCAAAGGGAAAGGGAAGAGAGGUAAAGGCCCCACCCGACAAUGGCCCUGAGCUCCAAGGUUUUCAGCCUCGACGUCCAGGUCUCCGAGGUCCAGUCGUGUGAUUUCAACCGACUCGUCAAGCAAUUCGGAUUUUUUUAUAUUAAAGCAAUACUAUGAUUGCCUUGAUCUUCACAUCAAAUUUGUUCUUCGUUGAAUUUAUUAUUUGAGAAAAAUUUUAAAAAUUGAUAAGUUUUACUAUUUAUUUUACAGAUGAUCGUGUUAAGAAAAAAAUUUGCUAAAUUUUGUGGAUUUUCUAUAAUGUUUUUAUAUAAUAAGAGAAAAUGGAAAAAAAAAAAAAACAUUAGUAGUUUAUUCACGGUGAAACGUUUCAUCUUUUAACCUAUUACGAAACGAAGAAAGAAGGCGGUUCUAAAUUUACAUUGGUUCAUUUUGCAUCCUCGUUCACGAGGUGAACGCGCUUUCUGAUCAUGUUCAUGAAAAAAAAAA